GAUCAUGGCUCAGAACAACGCUGGCGGCAUGCCUAACACAUGCAAGUCGAACGAGACUUCGGUCUAGUGGCGGACGGGUGAGUAACGCGUAGGAACCUGCCAAGCAGUGGGGAAUAACAGCUGGAAACGGCUGCUAAUACCGCAUACGCCCUUCGGGGGAAAGAUUUAUCGCUGUUGAGGGUCCUGCGUUCGAUUAGCUAGUUGGUGAGGUAACGGCCCACCAAGGCGACGAUCGAUAGCUGGUCUGAGAGGAUGAUCAGCCACACUGGGACUGAGACACCGGCCCAGACUCCUACGGGAGGCAGCAGGUGGGGAAUAUGGACAAUGGGGGAAACCCUGAUCCAGCAAUGCCGCGUGCGUGAAGAAGGCCUUAGGGUUGUAAAGCGCUUUCACCUGUGAUGAUGAUGACAGUAGCAGGAGAAGAAGCCCCGGCUAACUCCGUG
rnacentral:rRNA from 1 species